UACGUAGGGGGCUAGCGUUGUCCGGAAUCACUGGGCGUAAAGGGUGCGUAGGCGGGUCUUUAAGUCCGGGGUGAAAUCCUGGAGCUCAACUCCAGAGCUGCCUUUGAUACUGAGGAUCUUGAGUUCGGGAGAGGUGAGUGGAACUGCGAGUGUAGAGGUGAAAUUCGUAGAUAUUCGCAAGAACACCAGUGGCGAAGGCGGCUCACUGGCCCGAUACUGACGCUGAGGCACGAAAGCGUGGGGAGCAAACAGG
rnacentral:rRNA from 1 species